AAGGGCACCACAAGAACGCGUGGAGCAUGUGGCUUAAUUUGACUCAACGCGGGAAAUCUUACCGGGUCCGGACACACUGAGGAUUGACAGAUAGUGCUUUGUAUUUUUUAAAUGCAAACACAUAAAGAUGCUAGUUCUUUCAUGAUUAUGUGAUAGGUGGUGCAUGGCCGUUCUUAGUUCGUGGAGUGAUCUGUCUGCUUAAUUGCGUUUCAAAUAUUUUAAAUAACAUAUACGUAUUACCGUAUAUUGUUAUGUUUCUUGAAAGCAACGAACGUGACCGUAUCCUUUUAUUAUAUACACUAAUUCAUAUUGAAAUACGUUAUAUUCUUAAAGGGACCGCUGUUUCUUUCUUUUAAACCAGGGGAAGGUUACGGUAAUAACAGGUCUGUGAUGCCCUUCGAUGUUCCGGGCUGCACACGUGCUACAAUGAUUAUUUCAUUAAGUAUCUACUGUGUGCACAUAUCUUUCUAGAUUGUGCUAUUCACCUACUCUGAGAAUGAGCGGGUAAUCAAUUAGAAGUAAUGAUUUCCAAAUUUUUGUAUACGCAACCAUGUAGUACCUCUUAUAUCCCGUAUUAUUACUAUACGUGUGUAUAUUUGAGUUUUGUCACUACGCGUAUUUGUUAAUUCAUGGUGGGGAUAGACUAUUGUUAAUUGUUGGUCUCGGUUUCAACUAGGAAUGCCUUGUACGGGUCAUUGGUUCAACAAACCACCCGGAAUACGUCCCUGCCCUUUGUACACACCGCCCGUCGCUCUUACCGAUGAACUUCGCUAUGAAUCUAUUGGACUGCAUUCUUUUUAUGCGGAAAGAUAUAUGAAUAGUGUGGUUUAAAGGAAAGAGAAGU
rnacentral:rRNA from 1 species